rnacentral:lncRNA from 1 species
GCUUAUUCCAUAAUUCUGUGUGGUUCGAUCGCGAUCGUGAUUUUUCAUUAAGAAUCGCACACCAUUGACUAUGCAUGCUGAAUAUACUGAUACACGUCUGUCAGGUUUUUGUGCAAGUGCAGCUAAGUCAUUACUGAUACAGUUAGGAUUGUCUAUACGUAGCUGAGCUAUCUACAAUUAAAAGAACAAUAAGCAGGUUAAAUUUGACAAAAUAAAUACUAUAUAAACAAACUUUUAAUCAUGGAUGAACAUUAACAUAACUUACCCAUUCGUCAAACCAUGAUGCGAAUUGAUUCCUAUGUCG